rnacentral:tRNA from 1 species
GACCAUGUGGCCUAAUGGAUAAGGCGUCUGACUUCGAAUCAGAAGAUUGAGGGUUCGAGUCCAUUUUCUGCUU